ensembl:snoRNA
CUUGCUUGUGUGUUUUUGUCUUAAUUUGUGGAUUAAAACUUAACGGACAGGAACAAUAAACCCUCUCAUACAAUCCAAAAUUCAUUGUUUGAUAUGAGUUUUGAUGCAUAUAAGAAGGAAUAUU